rnacentral:tRNA from 1 species
GGGCGCGUGGUGAAACUGGUAAACACGCGAGAUUUAGGAUCUCGUGCCGCUCAGGCCUGCGGGUUCGAGUCCCGCCGCGCCCA